GAGGGUAUAGCUCAAGUGGUAGAGUGCAGGCUUAGCAUGCAGAAGGUCCUGGGUUCAAUCCCCAGUACCUCCU
rnacentral:tRNA from 1 species